GCCGGUGUAGCUCCAAUUGGUAGAGCAAGUCACUCGUAAUGACGAGGUUGGUGGUUCGAUUCCACUCUCCGGCACCA
rnacentral:tRNA from 1 species